AUCAUUUUAGCAUAUUGCGCUAGGCUUAAAACUUAGAGUUAUUGGUUAGUUCAAUAAAUGAUA
rnacentral:tRNA from 1 species